UACGGGGGGGGCUAGCGUUGUUCGGAAUUACUGGGCGUAAAGGGCUCGUAGGUGGCCAACUAAGUCAUGCGUGAAAUCCCUCGGCUUAACCGGGGAACUGCGUCUGAUACUGGAUGGCUUGAAUCCGGGAGAGGGAUGCGGAAUUCCAGGUGUAGCGGUGAAAUGCGUAGAUAUCUGGAGGAACACCGGUGGCGAAGGCGGCAUCCUGGACCGGUAUUGACGCUGAGGCGCGAAAGCUAGGGGAGCAAACGGG
rnacentral:rRNA from 1 species